rnacentral:rRNA from 1 species
GCGCAGCAGGCGCGAAAACUUCACACUGUGCGAAAGCACGAUGAGGGAAUCCCAAGUGCUUGCACGUAAGUGUAAGCUGUUUCUCUGUCUAAAACGCAGAGAGAGUAAGGGCUGGGUAAGACGGGUGCCAGCCGCCGCGGUAAUACCUGCAGCUCAAGUGGUGACCGUUAUUAUUGGGCCUAAAACGUCCGUAGCCGGUUUAAUAAAUGCCUGGGUAAAUUGUGUAGCUUAACUAUACGAAUUCCGGGUAGACUGUUAAACUUGAGACCGGGAGAAGUUAGAGGUACUCCUGGGGUAGAGGUGAAAUUCUGUAAUCCUAGGGGGACCACCAGUGGCGAAGGCGUCUAACUAGAACGGGUCUGACGGUGAGGGACGAAGCCCUGGGGCGCAAACGGGAUUAGAUACCCGGGUAGU